AUUGAACGCUGGCGGCAUGCCUUACACAUGCAAGUCGAACGGCAGCACGAGGCAACCUGGUGGCGAGUGGCGAACGGGUGAGUAAUGCAUCGGAACGUACCUUUCAGUGGGGGAUAACGUAGCGAAAGUUACGCUAAUACCGCAUAUUCUGUGAGCAGGAAAGCAGGGGAUCGCAAGACCUUGCGCUGAUUGAGCGGCCGAUGUCAGAUUAGCUAGUUGGUGAGGUAAAGGCUCACCAAGGCGACGAUCUGUAGCGGGUCUGAGAGGAUGAUCCGCCAGACUGGAACGGAGACACGGUCCAGACUCCUACGGGAGGCAGCAGUGGGGAAUUUUGGACAAUGGGGGCAACCCUGAUCCAGCCAUGCCGCGUGAGUGAAGAAGGCCUUCGGGUUGUAAAGCUCUUUCGGCCGGGAAGAAAUCGCACGGGCUAAUACCCUGUGUGGAUGACGGUACCGGAAUAAGAAGCACCGGCUAACUACGUGCCAGCCGCCGCGGUAAUAC
rnacentral:rRNA from 1 species